rnacentral:lncRNA from 1 species
AAAAGCCGUAUAUACGUGGCCUAUGGCGUUUCGAUCCAAACUCCCCUUUCCUUCUAGGCUUCUACUGCGACGAGGAAGCCCUUGCCCUGGCGUCGUCAAAAUCCCUCCUCCGCAGCUUCGCUCCAGUGUCCUGCCUGUCAAUCCUCCGGGAUCUUGGUGGAUCUGCGGGUAGAGUCGGAUUCCAACUACGAUUCGGAGUCCUAAUCAAUUUCGUUGCGUCCCACAUCGUCGACUAUAAAUCUGGUAUGAUCAAGUUGUUUCAUUGCAUCGUUUGGUUGCGCAUCUAUCCCCUCCCAUCUCUCCCAACCAAGGUCGCAGUAACAACGCAAAAGCUUGCGGAUUGAUGGAUUCUCGGGCGGCGCAGUUGGCGGCGCCACUUCCUGAUCCAUACUCGGCAGAAACAUUUGAAGACCUACUCCGAGGAGGGUCAAGGUGGCGUGGCUCCCGGCCCCUCCCUCCCAGGUCUGGCCAAAGGGGGGCGGGGGGAGAGCGGUGGCAGGUGGCUCCCGGCCCCUCCCUCCCAGAUCUGGC